rnacentral:rRNA from 1 species
CCCAGUGGGCCACUUUUGGUAAGCACAACUGGCGCUGUGGGAUGAACCAAACGACGGGUUAAGGGGCCCCGAUGCAGGACGCUCAUGAGACCCCAUGAAAGGUGUUGGUUGCUAUAGACAGCAGGACGGUGGCCAUGGAAGUCGGAAUCNGCUNAGGAGUGUGUAACAACUCACCUGCCGAAGCAACUNNCCCUGAAAAUGGAUGGCGCUUCAGCGUCGACCCCAUACCCGUCCGCCGCGGCGGAGAUGCGAUCGCAUUAUGCCGCGGUGAGUAGGAGGGCGCGGGGGCGCGCGUGGAAGGUGCCGGGCGUGAGCCCGCCUGGAGCCGCCCCCGGUGCAGAUCUUGGUGGUAGUAGCAAAUACUCAAGUGAGAACCUUGAGGACUGAGGUGGAGAAGGGUUCCAUGUGAACAGCAGUUGAACAUGGGUCAGUCGGUCCUAAGGGAUGUCCGAAAGGAUUUCCGAAGGGGGACUUUGAAUGUUGGUCCCGCCCAUGACCGAAAGGGAAUCGGGUUAAUAUUCCCGAACCCGGAUACGGAGAUCGNCCCCCUCGGGGGCACGNGCGGUAACNCAAACGACCUCGGAGACGUCGACGGGGGUCCCGGGAAGAGUUGUCUUUUCUUUGUAAGGGUUCGGCUCCCUGGAAUCGGCUCGNCCGGAGAUAGGGAUGCUGAGCCCGUAAAGCACCGCGCCUCUUGCGGUGUCCGGAGCGCUCCCGUCGGCCCUUGAAAAUCCGAGCGAGAGUUGGUGAUUUUCGUGCCGGACCGUACCCAUAUCCGCAGCA